rnacentral:rRNA from 1 species
UGGUGGAGUGAUUUGUCUGCUUAAUUGCGAUAACGAACGAGACCUUGACCUGCUAAAUAGCCAGGCUCACUUUUGUGGGCCGCCGGCUUCUUAGAGGGACUUUUGGCUCAAGCCAAUGGAAGUACGAGGCAAUAACA